UACGUAGGGUGCAAGCGUUGUCCGGAAUUACUGGGCGUAAAGAGCUCGUAGGUGGUUUGUCACGUCGUCUGUGAAAUUCCACAGCUUAACUGUGGGCGUGCAGGCGAUACGGGCUGACUUGAGUGCUGUAGGGGUAACUGGAAUUCCUGGUGUAGCGGUGAAAUGCGCAGAUAUCAGGAGGAACACCGAUGGCGAAGGCAGGUUACUGGCAGUUACUGACGCUGAGGAGCGGAAGC
rnacentral:rRNA from 1 species